AGUGAACGCUGGCGGUAGGCCUAACACAUGCAAGUCGAACGGCAGCACAGUAAGAGCUUGCUCUUACGGGUGGCGAGUGGCGGACGGGUGAGGAAUACAUCGGAAUCUACUUUUUCGUGGGGGAUAACGUAGGGAAACUUACGCUAAUACCGCAUACGACCUACGGGUGAAAGCAGGGGAUCUUCGGACCUUGCGCGAUUGAAUGAGCCGAUGUCGGCUUAGCUAGUUGGCGGGGUAAAGGCCCACCAAGGCGACGAUCCGUAGCUGGUCUGAGAGGAUGAUCAGCCACACUGGAACUGAGACACGGUCCAGACUCCUACGGGAGGCAGCAGUGGGGAAUAUUGGCCAAUGGGCGCAAGCCUGAUCCAGCCAUACCGCGUGGGUGAAGAAGGCCUUCGGGUUGUAAAGCCCUUUUGUUGGGAAAGAAAAGCAGCAGGUUAAUACCCCGCUGUUCUGACGGUACCCAAAGAAUAAGCACCGGCUAACUUCGUG
rnacentral:rRNA from 1 species